rnacentral:lncRNA from 1 species
UUGGUGGGUGACCUCUGGCUGGAAAGAGAAAGUGAGGUGGUGGAAAGAGACAAGGUUUCUUCCUUCCCUGCAGGAGGCUGUGGCAAAAAGCCAGCAUUCACACAGCCCGUAGGCACGGAGGAGAAUACAAAUUAGAGGAUCAGCCAGCAAACUUGAUGGGUGAUGAGAACUGUUCAAGACAACCCUGAAGAUGUUGCUUAUUUGAUAAGGUUGCUGGUGCUGCUGCUACUGAAGAUAGAACAACAGUUAAGCUUUCUGUGUAUGUGUGUGUUUUCCGUCUGUUUUUCUUUGUAAUCAGUCUGGGUAUAAAAGUGAGCAGUGAAGAAUCGGGGGGAAAUAAAUCUACUUUUUAAACAUGUUAAAUUUGGAAAAUAUCUAGAGCUCAGAAGAAAAGUGUAAACUUAAGUUAGAGAUUUGAGAGUUAGUGAAGCUCUAAGAGGGGCAGAGUGUAAAGGUGAGGGCAACAAGUAUAUGUGCACACACAAUCACACACAUACACCGGUGGCAGGCAAAGAAAGAUUAAAUCCCUUCUUAGCAAAACUUCAAUUCUGAGAAGAUUUUUCCUAUCUGAAUUUGUUGAACAAUAUUAGAGAUUUUUUUUUUCUAACCACUUCAUAAAUAAUAAAACUGAGCAACAGAGAGGAUGGGUGGCUGACUUGUUAAGGAACUCCUAAUUAGUGCUAAAGAGUCUUAAAACCUAGGUUUCUGGGCUCCCAAUUCCAGGUUCCUUGGAAGUCAAGAGAAGACAAAAACAUACGAUCAUUUACUUUAUCCCUAACUUCACUUGAAUAAAACAUUCCAUAAGAUUAAGGUUAAUGCUUCCUUUGUCUGACACAUCUAUAAGCCAUAUGACUGGUUAGUUUCAGCACGUUACUAGGCCAGUUCGGCAAUGCUCGAAAGCAAUUCAAUUUUCAAAGAACAGUUCUCGAGAUACAUACAAUAAAGCUCAGAUUAACCAGGAAUCAUCGAACCAGAGUUGUUUUACUUUCUACUUAUAAAGAACAUAAGAAAGCACUCUUGAUCUAAGGCAUGACACUGAGCUGGCUCACACCUGCUCUGAUCUUUAUUACUUUCUGUAUGUAAAAUUCUCACAGUACAGUAACUGUGAGGAAAAUAAUAAUUUUGUGCACAAUAACUUUAGGUAGGAAGGAAACUAUAUUAAUAAUAAUUCAAUUUAAGUAGAAAUAUAAGUAAACUUAAUUACAGG